GCGAGAGUGGUGGAAUUGGUAGACACACUGGUCUUAGAAGCCAGCGGAGAAAUCCAUGAGAGUUCGAGUCUCUCCUUUCGCACCA
rnacentral:tRNA from 1 species